rnacentral:rRNA from 1 species
AACGAACGCUGGCGGCAUGCCUAACACAUGCAAGUCGAACGAGACCUUCGGGUCUAGUGGCGCACGGGUGCGUAACGCGUGGGAACCUGCCUUUAGGUUCGGAAUAACUCAGAGAAAUUUGAGCUAAUACCGGAUGAUGUCUUCGGUCCAAAGAUUUAUCGCCUUUAGAUGGGCCCGCGUUGGAUUAGCUAGUUGGUGGGGUAAAGGCCUACCAAGGCGACGAUCCAUAGCUGGUCUGAGAGGAUGAUCAGCCACACUGGGACUGAGACACGGCCCAGACUCCUACGGGAGGCAGCAGUGGGGAAUAUUGGACAAUGGGCGAAAGCCUGAUCCAGCAAUGCCGCGUGAGUGAUGAAGGCCUUAGGGUUGUAAAGCUCUUUUACCCGAGAUGAUAAUGACAGUAUCGGGAGAAUAAGCUCCGGCUAACUCCGUG